GGAAACUCAAAUUUAUUUCUUUUUUAAAUUUUUGGCAUCAACUUAGCACAGCCCAUGAAUUCUAUUUAGACACCACGUACGAAAAUUUAUAAGCACCUUCAAAUUAUAUGAAGCUCGCAUCACAAAAUGCAACGAUGACAAUUAAUUUAAUUGCAAAAUCAACAAGUUUUUUUUUUUUUUUUAAAUGCCUCCCUUUCCCUGAGUUGCUCAAAAUUGCAAAUGAACGAAUUAGCUCAGACUACAACUCAAGCAGGUACAAGUUGCAAUUGCCUACAAACACAUAAAAAUUUAUACCUCAGAAAGAG
rnacentral:misc_RNA from 1 species